ACGCGAGGAACCUUACCAGGUCUUGACAUCCUCUGACACUCCUAGAGAUAGGACGUUCCCCUUCGGGGGACAGAGUGACAGGUGGUGCAUGGUUGUCGUCAGCUCGUGUCGUGAGAUGUUGGGUUAAGUCCCGCAACGAGCGCAACCCUUGAUCUUAGUUGCCAGCAUUAAGUUGGGCACUCUAAGGUGACUGCCGGUGACAAACCGGAGGAAGGUGGGGAUGACGUCAAAUCAUCAUGCCCCUUAUGACCUGGGCUACACACGUGCUACAAUGGAUGGUACAAAGGGCAGCAAAACCGCGAGGUCGAGCAAAUCCCAUAAAACCAUUCUCAGUUCGGAUUGUAGGCUGCAACUCGCCUACAUGAAGCUGGAAUCGCUAGUAAUCGCGGAUCAGCAUGCCGCGGUGAAUACGUUCCCGGGCCUUGCACUCACCGCCCGU
rnacentral:rRNA from 1 species